UGUCAUAUUAUGGAUAAACAUGCAUUACAAAUAAACUGAUGAACCACAGUAUAUCUUAUAUUAGGCUUUUAAACUGCUUUAUGUAUCAUGUUUCAGUUUUCCUAAAUGACUGAUACAUUUCAGUAUUUUGCAUAUCAGUGUUAAUUUUGAGUUGGUAGAGGCAGCCUAACAAACUCUGAUUGUUUUGCUAUUAGGGGAUAUUUCCUUCAAUAAAACCAAUGAAUUGAAAGAGAAAAUACACCUCACUUUACUGUCCAUGUGUUUUCAUUUCACAAUAAGCCAGUAACUUCAUCACCAUAGCCAUCUUUGGGAAUCACUAGUAGACAGAAUGAUAAGUAGGCAAAUUGCUGUUCCUGUUAUUUAAGCACAGGGACUAUUUGGUUCUUCCUAAUGGCGUUCCUGGUAUCUGGGCAUGGCUCACUGGUCGAUUCCUACCUUUUAGUGACUGUAGCCCCCAUAUAUGGCUGGCCCUUGGACAGAUCUGUGUUUCACUCUUAUAUAAUUAUUUGUUGUAAAAUGCAGAAGAAAAUUUAAAAAAUAGAACCUUUUCAUUUUAUCCUAGGGGAGAAAAAUGCAGUUGUUCAAACUAAGGGUAGAAUUAAAUCAGGGCCAAUACAGUGUUAGCACAGGUGUUAUCAUUGUGACCAGAAAACAGGAAUUCUUGGGGCAGCUUCUGCUUCCCCAUUUUGAAUCUAUUAUUGUUAUUUAAAAUAAUUAUAUUUGUAUUUUACUUAAAGAUUUAGUUGUUAUUUUACUUAAAAGUAGAGUUACCAUUGAUAUACUUGGCAUUAGUAAACCCAUUGAUUCUGAUUUGUCAGUCGCUUCUGAUUAUUGGUUUUGGGGGAGGAAAUUAAUGAUCUAGUAAUCAGUUCAUUAGCUUGUAAAGCUAAUUAACCUCUUCCAUAUACUGUCAGCCUUACACUGACCCUGCUUUCUCCCCAGGCUGCCUAUUCCCAAACUUGAAGACACCAUUAGGAGAUACCUCAGUGCACAGAAGCCUCUCUUGAAUGAUGGCCAGUUCAGGUAAACACUGAGAACCUUGGGUGAGCAUAGUUGGGGUGGUUCAAGACAGGCUGGCAAGUAGUGGUGGACCAAGCUUCAGGGAAUGUCUGUGACGUGGCUGGGUCUCCAGGAACCCAGAACCUAGUUGUACAUCUGCAAGUUCAGGAAAUAGAUUUUCAUUCAUGAAGGACUGACCAAGCCCCGAGAGUUCCUCUAAACAGGCUCAACAGGAGAUAGUUUAUAAGCCAGAAUGCCAAAUGUGUACUUUCCCUUAGCAGGUGUACCUGGGAGGCUCGCUGGUCCUGGUCAUUUAUAGAGAGCAUGUACCCUUGGAAGGGAGGUCCAUUGAGGAGACCAUACGGCAGACCAGAAGUCUGCAUCGUGAGCAUGUUUAUUGAGUUGGAUAGCAUGCCUCCAAAAUUUAUGCCCUUUUUCAUGAAAUUUAGUAUAUGAUCUUAUUUGGAAUUAGGGUUGUGGCAGAUGUAAUUAGUUAAGAUGAGGUCCUACUGGAGUAUUGUGGGUCCUUAAUUAAAUAUGACUGGUGUCCUUGUAAGAAGACACAGAGACAGCGGUGUGAGGACACAGGCAGAGAUUGUGUCCUCUGCCUGUGUCAACAAGCCAAGGCAUGCCAGGGAUUGCUGGCAACACCAGAAUCUAAGAGAAAGCCAUGCAACAGAUUCUUCCCCAGUCUUCAGAGAAGAUAUAGUCCUACUGACACCUGGAUUUUGUCCUUAAAGCUUCCAGAACUGUGAGAGAAUAAAUUUCUGUUGUUUUCAGCCACCCAGUUUGUGGUGUUUUGUUAUAGCAGUCCUAGGAAGCAAAUACAGCAUGGAAUUGGAAAAUAAUAUCAAAUAUUGUCAAAAAGUGGAUUGCAUUAAGCUCUUAUAGCCUAGUGUAGUACUCUUUUUCCAUAAUGGAAAUUUUUCUGUACAGGUAACUGGCAUUGUUGUUGGAAUCACAGAACUCUUCACUGGACAGUGAUGGAGAAGCAGAUGAAUUAUCCAUAAUCUAGGCCUCUGUUUUCAAAUAUUUGUUAUUAGUCAUUUAAAGUUUCUCUUGAUAUGGUAAUAGCUACCAGUUAUUGAGUAUUAUGUUUUAGGAUAUUCUAAAUCCUUAGCUUUAUAAAUAUUUUUAAUCUUGUAAAGUGGUAUUAUUAUCCAUUUUACACAUCAAGAAACCGAGACUCAGAUCAAGUAACUUAUCCAAGAUCACACAGUUUGAAAAGCAACAGAGCUAGGAUUCAGACUUAACUUCUGUUGACUCCAGAGCUUGUGUCCUUUUCUCCAUGCCAAACUGCCUCCUAGGAUAUGGAUUAUUUUGUGAGAUGUUGAUUGAUUUUCCUAAUCAUUCAUUUUAAGAAGGUAGUCUAGAUUAUCAAUUUUAGAUUGAUUCCUGUUCUGGUUAGAGGUACUUUCUGAUCUCAUUCCAGGUUUUAGGGCUAUGCUGUUGGGGACCCAAAACUCUAUUAUGAGUUCCUCGCCAUGAACCUAAAAAUCAUGUAUUCCCUACCAUGGUUUGAUUUUGUCUUUUCUUGAAUGUUUUAGGAAAACAGAACAAUUUUGCAAGAGUUUUGAAAAUGGGAUUGGAAAAGAACUGCAUGAGCAGCUGGUUGCUCUGGACAAACAGAAUAAACAUACAAGCUACAUUUCGGGUAGGUAGGCUGGGCUGUGGGUAUGAUUUCUCCCAGAGCCCUCCAUAAUGAAAAGUAAGGCAUAUUCUCUCCUGUUUUGGUCUCAGAGAUAUUUUUGGUGAGACCAGCAAAUGAAGUAACGUCUCAUCCUCCCUUCCUGAGGUAAAUUAAGGCUGAGUGUGUUCCUCCUCUACUGAGGUGUUGACUUGAGCCCAUGCUCAAGAAUGAUGGCCAGCCUUCUCUGUAGAUGGGAUUGAGGCAGAACCUAAUCAAUGGUCCUGUCUGAAAAGGAUGCAGGAUUAAGUCCUAUGUCCUAUAUCAUUCUGGGUCCUUCACUGUCAGACAGAACUGUCCUCUCCAGCCUCUUCUCUCACCACCCACCCUGACAUACUUCCUGCUAAACUCCUCAUUGCUCCCUGAACCCUUAGUCUUUCAUUCUUUUGUGCCUUUAUCCAUGCUGUUCCCACUACCAUUUUUUUGCCUGGCAAAUUCUUCUUUUAAGAUCCAAGGAGGAUGGUUUUCUGUGAAACCUUCUCAGUCCUUUUUCCUUUCCAUUCAGAGUUGGUUGCUUCCACCUCUGUUCCUACAGCACUUCUUUUAAUUUAGUUUAUAUAUUUACCAAGGUUAUACAUGCAUAUAGUUUAAAGAAUCAGACAGUUCUAUAAGGCUUGUUAGGAAAAACAGCAACUUCCUCAUCAUCUUAUUUCCCACUUCUCACUUUCAGCUCCUAAAUCUUUUGUUAUAUACCCCCGUAUCUCUAAAUUAGAUACUUACCUUACUGCAUCUUGAUUUUUUUGCUUUAGUCAUUAGCUAUUGACAUCUCACUGUAGAAGAUUAGAAUUCAGCAGUACUUUACAUCCCACCACAUAUGUGGGAUGUGUAUACACAUACUUCCUAUCCCCUUAUUUUCACAGCAUAGGGAUUUGUAAUUUUGGGUAACUCAGUAUCUAGUUUUAUGCUAUUAUGAUCAUAGAAACACUAUUGUCAGCUGACUCAUGUAGCAUAUUGGGAUUGUUUUUCCUUUCCAGUACAAACUUUUUGUUUUCUCUGAAGUUAAUAAUUGUUCCAUCUUUUCUCUUGUUUAGUUUUCUAUGUGCUUACUAAUUUACCCCCAGACUCUUCCCAAGCUGUCUGAAUCUCCUCUCAAUACAUGAAAGCAGAUUGGACAUUCUAUCCCUUUUGGUCUUCUUGACGAAACUUCUUCCAGAACUUGCGACAUGCUGUAGUCUGGAUUUGUGAACCUCUUGGCCUACUGUGAAGCUGCUCUCCUGUGCUCUUUCACCAUCAGCUGGGGCAUCUGUCAUCUCUCUCUCAUGUUGGGACUCGUGUUUCUUGUCUUUCAUAUUUUCUUAUUUCUUGGCUUUUUCUUUUUCUUUUUUUUUUUUUUUAAAUCAGAGCACAUAUUCCCUGUACUAUCUGGAAACAGAAUAUGGGAAGCAAAAAUUUUAAAAUGGCCCUUAUACUUCAUUGAUAAUUUGUUUGGCUGGGUUUGAAAUUAUUUUCCCACAGAAUUUUGGAGGCUUUGCUCCAUUGUCUUUUAGCAUCCAGUGUUGCUGUUGGUAAAUCUAAUGUUAUUCUGAGACUUAAUCUUUUGACUACUUCUUCUCUCUGCCUUUGGAAGCUUUUUAGAAUUUUCUCUUUGUCCCCAGUGUUUUGAAAUUUCAGGUAAUGUGUUUUAGUAUGUGUUGGGCCACUCUGUGAGUCCUUUGAAUCUGGAAUCUCAUCCUUCAGGUCUGGGAUAUUUCCUUGUUUUAUUUCUUUGGCUUUCUUCCUCUCCAUUUUUUUUCUCUGUUUUUUCUUUGUGGAACUCUAUUAUUAUUCAGGUGUAGAAUUUCUGGGUCUCAUCCUCUAAUUUUCUUUUCUCUCACAUUUUUCAUCUCUUACUCUUUUUGUUACAUUUUCUUGGG
rnacentral:lncRNA from 10 species